AGAAAGUGUAACUUCCGCAGUAUGUACGCACACGCCCCUUUUCAUGUGCGCCAAUUUAUCCAAAACUAAGCGUGUGGCCUACGAGGAGGGACGAGAAAUUUCACGGUAAACCAAUUCAGAUUCACCAAAACCCGUUAACUAUAAAUGAUUCAGUGGUGAGUACAGGUACUUCCUCGUAUGCAGAGCUCUGCCUGUAUUGGAAGAAAGCUACACCCACCAUAUCCUUGCUGCAUGUAGAUGAUGACAGCAAAUAUCAAACCCCCAAGACACACAACAAUAUCCCAGGUGGUGGAAAAGCAGUCCAUUACUAUGCAAGUGAAUUACCAAGUAGAACUAUGAGACCUGUAAAGGUCAUGUGCACGAGGCAAUAAACGAACAAAAGUAGUCCCAAUGUAAAAGAAAGGGGUGAGAGCCUUUUUGGUAUCACAGAAAAGAUUGAACAGUAGAUAAUAGUUUUAAGUUAUGUAUUUGGUAAUUCAUUUUAGUUUCAAACAUUAGCAUUCGAAUCCCUUUUAAACCAAUUUAUUGUGCAAUUUCUCUAGUUCUAACCAGUGGCGCAUCUAACAUCUGGAGAGCACCAGCGACGUGCGUGCUAGAUUCGCUCGAAUUUUUGUUGUUGAUAGUAGAUAAUAGUUUUAGGUUAUGUAUCUAGCAAUUCAUUUUAAUUUCAAACAUUACCGUUCGAAUCCCUUCUAAACCAAUUUAUUGUGCAAUUUCUCUAGUUCUAUAAUUUUUACAAUGAGAAGGGGAUUUGAACAUGUAACCCAUCUUUAAGAUAACUGAAAGUUUG
rnacentral:lncRNA from 1 species